ACGGAGGAUCCGAGCGUUAUCCGGAUUUAUUGGGUUUAAAGGGUGCGUAGGUGGUUUAAUAAGUCAGCGGUGAAAGUUUGCAGCUUAACUGUAAAAAUGCCGUUGAAACUGUUAGACUUGAGUGUAAAUGAGGUAGGCGGAAUGCUUGGUUUACCGUUUAAAUACUUACAUAUCACGCAGAACCCCGAUUGCGAGGGCAUCUUACCAAACUACAUCUGACACUGAAUCACGAAAGCGUGUGGAUCAAACAG
rnacentral:rRNA from 1 species